ACAAAUUUUAUUAAGACUGUAUUACACCAAUAAAACAACCUUAGCACUAAUGUAUUUACAGUAAUAAAAUAGUUUUAAUGAAGUUUCGUUUAGGAUAGAAAAAUUAACGUAAUAUAUGCUGGUGAGUUAUAGGAUGGCGGGUUAUAAUAUAUACAUAUGUUUUCGCGAUGUUUUUCUAUCGAGCCAACUUUAAAGUGUUAAUUGGACUCUGCCCUUGUAAAUAUAGUCUAUUUUUCGUUUACAGUACAUAUGGUGCUACUUUACCGCACUAGGGCGAUAAUUAGCAUAUUACCUACGUAACUAUGUCGAACAUUUAAAGGGCCAUAUGUACUGUAAAACGUACGAUACAUGUGCGAAUAGAUAAUUCGCAACUCGUGUCGAUGUAAAACACUGACUUCGGUCGUGUUUUAAUCUAUGCCACUCGCUGCGAAUUUCCUAUUUUGCGCACUUGUAUUAUUAUAGUGUAGUAUUAUCAGAGUAUUAUGGCAUUUGCCCUUGAUUGAGAUGGGUAUAAAGAAUCACAAUAAAAACUACAAUUUUGCGUUAGCUCCAGAUGGAUAUAAGUAAUUUGUAGUAAGUACCUACACAAUACAGUCAUAUAUGUAUAUAUGUACGUAGGUAUACAUACACCCGCCGUGUUAAGGCUCACAAAACAGAAGGUAUUGAGGAAUAUCACAAUUAGAGAAGCAUUCGCGCUACCAGUGUUGAAAAAAGAAAUAAAAAUAAAUGUGAAAAAAGCUAUGUACUUUUGUGAUAACUGGUAGCACAACGUUACUUUUGUGCUAUUUUGCAAUUAAUACUAUAGUAUUUAAGUAAAUUUAAUUAUAAACGACUCACCAAACAAUUCUCUGUAUAAUUCCGAUGUCCUAAAUUUAUACACCUAUUAUUAUGUUUUUUUUGGAAUUGAUUAGUUUUUUUAUACGGGUUAUGCUAAUGUAUAUCAUGGUAUGUAGAUUUCUGUACAUGAUCAUUUUACAGCAAAAUGUAAAUCUUUGUUAAUUACCUCAAUUGAUUGAAGACAUCUUAAAUGUACAAUUGUAGUGCAUAAUUGUAUUCCAUCGUAUUUUCUCGAAAACGUUCGUAUUUGUCUUGUAAAAGUCAACCUCAGUACUUUUUGUACUGAUGAUGAUUUUGUACAAAUUAGUACGCUUCCGUGAACAUACGAUGGAAAAUAAUUAUGCACUACAACUGUGUUUCUAUAGGAACCGUGCGCGUUUUAGGGUCUGCCAUCUUGUGGCCUGAAUCGGAAACAUAUGUGCACAUGUAUGUACAUAGCCAAAGCAAGUGCUACCAUCUACCGUUCUCGUCGGUACGUUUCCUUGUGCAUAGUAGGUUCUAUCAACUUGUGGGCUACAUCGGAAGCAUAAACGUCACAUUUAUGCCUCGCGCCAUAAAUCUGACGGCUCCUAUUCUGCCCCCUAUAGCCUCUAGCCGCCCAUACGUCAAACCUUGCCAAACACAAAGUUCAAAUUAGAAUGGAACAGAAGACCUUUUUACAGGUCUCUGGGCGGCUAGAGGAUAGUUCAUGCACGGGCCUAUACUGAUGAAUUGACAAUCGGCGCUCAGGAUAGUUUUAAAAAUACGCUGUCGUAAAAAAUCAUAAAAAAGAACACACACUAAUAAGGACAUAAUUGUAAGACCGGUUCUGUCCAAAAUAAAUUUACAUCAUAUCUUCACAGGCAUACGCUUAUUUACAACAAUAUAACUAAAAAUAUCCUCUACGACUACAGUAAAUUUUGUUCUAAUGAUUGAAAUAAAAAAUCGACCUAUUUAAAAAUAUGUCAAUUUCUGAUAACACUAGUAUUUAAUUUACUAUAGUAACGGUAUAUCGUAGUGUUAGCUAAAAGAAUGUUGAUAUUUAGAUUUGGUAUUUUGUUUGACACUGGGCUACAUGCAUAAAAAAUAUUUUUCAAUAAACACAUUUAACAAUACCAAUAUAAUCCAAAAAUGUGAUACACGCAAUUUAUUGUGAAUAGUUUAAAAACGUAAAAUUGUAAUACAUAUAUUCUUUGUAUACCCUAAUGUAUAUUAAAGAUUUUUAUUGGUUCUUUGUUAUGACGAGAAAUAAAAGUAUGGUAACGCAUUUUAUUACGGCGUAAAUAACGAAAAACUUAUUUUUUAAUACAGUUGCUCAAAAAGUGCUACUUUACGUAGCUGUUUAGCGUGCGGAAAGUUGGUUAUCUCGAACUAGUGCUUUUUACUUUACCAAUUUUUUUAAAUUUAUACUUGUUCCAAUUCACGACUACUUAUUGAUGAGUGUUAAUAUUAGUUUCCUUUAAACGUCGUAAUCAGCAUAAAAACCUACCGUUAAUGUAAGAAUACGAAAAAUAUUACAUAUUUCAUAUUUAAUUACUUACCUCUUCAUCAUUAUAACACGUUUAUUUUUUAAUAUUCAAUAUUGAAAAUUCCGUUCUUAAUAAGUUGACUGAAUGGAACGGAAUAGCUGCCAAACGUCCAUAGAUAUAAUAUACUUAAAGACGACGUCUAACCGAGCUGUCACUGUUACCACUUUUGUUUAGUGUACGAUUAACAAUGUUUUUCUUAUUUUUUCGCAACUGUAUUGAAAAACGUCGUUCGAUACACGUGCGGAAAUGUCAUUCUUCACUCGUCCCGAGUCUUGCCACUCGCCUGCGGCUCGUGGCAAGAUAUCUCGGUACUCGUGAAGUAAUGACAUACCUUCCGCACUAGCAUCGAAAUGUACUAUUACAGUCCUAUUUUCCCCGCACUAGUGCGUAAAAUAGCACUUUUCGUGCGUAUGUCAAAAGUUUAAAGGGCCAUAUGUACUGUAAAACGUUGUACGUUACACGUGCGAAUAGAUAAUUCACAACUCGUGUCGAUUAAAAACACUCCCUUCGGUCGUAUUUUAAUUUAUCGCCACUCGUUACGAAUUUCUUUUCUCCGCACUUGUAUCGUAAAUAACUAUUUCAUAAUUCAUUUACAUACACUUCGGCGCAGCCGUUAGUGCUGUGACGUCACAGGGUGCGCUUUCUUACUCAUUGCGCGCGCUAUAUUAGUAUAUUUAUGUAGUAAUUUAGAAGUUUGCGUGUUGCAAUAGCUACAGAUGUACCUAGUGUGCAUCAUUAUUUUCCAUCGUAUUUUCACGGAAACGUACGAACGUUUCUUGCUAUUUCAGUCUCGGUACAAAAAGUACUGAGGUUGACUGAAGUAGCUUGACCAAUUGCGACUACUUUGAAAAAUAAAAACUCGUAUCUUUUUCUGUUAAUUAAAAGAAAAAGCGGCCAAGUGCGAGUCGGACUCGCCCAUGAAGGGCUCCGUAGCAGCAAUAAGUAAAAAAAAAACUACUUACUAGAUCUCGUUCAAACCAAUUUUCGGUGGAAGUUUGCAUGGUAAUGUAUAUCAUAUAUUUUUUUAGGUUUUAUCAUUCUCUUAUUUUAGAAGUUACAGGGGGGGAACACACAUUUUACCACUUUGGAAGUGUCUCUCGCGCAAACUAUUCAGUUUAGAAAAAAAUGAUAUUAGAAAAUUCAAUAUCAUUUUUGAAGACCUAUCCAUAGAUCAA